rnacentral:rRNA from 1 species
AUUGAACGCUGGCGGCAUGCCUUACACAUGCAAGUCGAACGGCAGCACGGGUGCUUGCACCUGGUGGCGAGUGGCGAACGGGUGAGUAAUAUAUCGGAACGUACCUUAUCGUGGGGGAUAACGCAGCGAAAGCUGUGCUAAUACCGCAUAACCCCUAAGGGGGAAAGCGGGGGAGCGUAAGGCCUCGCGUAAUUAGAGCGGCCGAUACCUGAUUAGCUAGUUGGUGAGGUAAAGGCUCACCAAGGCAACGAUCAGUAGCUGGUCUGAGAGGACGAUCAGCCACACUGGGACUGAGACACGGCCCAGACUCCUACGGGAGGCAGCAGUGGGGAAUUUUGGACAAUGGGGGCAACCCUGAUCCAGCAAUGCCGCGUGAGUGAAGAAGGCCUUCGAGUUGUAAAGCUCUUUUGUCAGGGAAGAAACAGCAGCUCUAACACAGUUUGCGAAUGACGGUACCUGAAGAAUAAGCACCGGCUAACUACGUGCCAGCAGCCGCAGUAA